rnacentral:rRNA from 1 species
AUUGAACGCUGGCGGCAGGCCUAACACAUGCAAGUCGAGCGGAUGAAGAGAGCUUGCUCUCUGAUUCAGCGGCGGACGGGUGAGUAAUGCCUAGGAAUCUGCCUGGGUAUGGGGGACAACGUCUCGAAAGGGGCGCUAAUACCGCAUACGUCCUACGGGAGAAAGCAGGGGACCUUCGGGCCUUGCGCUAUCAGAUGAGCCUAGGUCGGAUUAGCUAGUUGGUGAGGUAAUGGCUCACCAAGGCGACGAUCCGUAACUGGUCUGAGAGGAUGAUCAGUCACACUGGAACUGAGACACGGUCCAGACUCCUACGGGAGGCAGCAGUGGGGAAUAUUGGACAAUGGGCGAAGGCCUGAUCCAGCCAUGCCGCGUGUGUGAAGAAGGUCUUCGGAUUGUAAAGCACUUUAAGUUGGGAGGAAGGGCAGUAAGCGAAUACCUUGCUGUUUUGACGUUACCGACAGAAUAAGCACCGGCUAACUCUGUG